rnacentral:rRNA from 1 species
UACGUAGGGUGCAAGCGUUAAUCGGAAUUACUGGGCGUAAAGGGCGCGUAGGCGGUCUUGUAAGUCUCGUGUGAAAUCCCUCGGCUUAACUGAGGAACUGCACGGGAUACUGCAUGACUUGAGAUCGGGAGAGGGAAGCGGAAUUCCGGGUGUAGCGGUGAAAUGCGUAGAUAUCCGGAGGAACACCGGUGGCGAAGGCGGCUUCCUGGACCGACACUGACGCUGAGGCGCGAAAGCUAGGGGAGCAAACGGG